CCGCUGGGCGCCUGCGCCGGCCGGGCCGGGGGGCUCCGUGCUGCCGAGGGCCGAGGGCCGAGGGCCGAGGGCCGAGGGGCCCGCACAGGAGCGGGGCGCGAGCCUCCCCUGGGCUUGAGCCCUGGCACUCUCGCUGCUGUGGCCGCCGGCUCGUGGUCCCGCUCCAGCUCGCACCGCGCGGCUCUCCACGCCGGGUCGCCCGGCACCGCGACUGCUCGUUGUCCGCCCCGCCCCGGGAGGGACCCUCCACUCGGGGCUCUGAUGCCCACUGCUCGCCCACGGGACCAGCCCGAGCCCUCUCCGUCUCCCUCUCCUGACGCCCCCCGUGGUCCUGCCCGCCGGUCGGCGUGGCCCGGGUCCCUCCCACCUCCGCCUCCGCCUCCACCUCCACCUCCACCUCCACCGUGACCCCUGACCCGUGACCCCUGACCCCUGCCCGGCUCCACGGGCAGCCUCGGGCCGGGGCUGCUUCCUCUGCGCGUCCUCCCGGCGGCGUCGGGCACAGGUGCUUCCUAGAAACAGCUGCUCCAAGAUACUUCAUAAAUGUCUCUAAAGCAUCUAUGACAUUAUAUCAUGUUCUACAAAUACAUAAUAUUUAUGAAAUGCUGAAUACGUGUUUUGUUGUCUUCUUUAACUCUUUUCGCUCCAUUCUUUUUAAAGAUUUUAUCUAUUUAUUCAUGAGAGACACAGCGAGAGGCAGAGACACGGGCCGAGGGAGAAGCUCCCUGUGGGGAGCCCCAUGUGGGACCUGAUCCCGGGACUCCAGGACCGCGCCCUGGGCUGAAGGCGGCGCUCAACCUCUGAGCCACCCAGGCGACCCCGCUCUACUUCUAACUAAGGAUAAAAAGCUUCCCACAACCCCAUGGGUUUAUCAGAGGGCCUAAGCUGAUGCCUGGAUUGAUCUGUAGGUUCUCCUAACUUCUAGGCUUCUUGGAUCUUAACACCUUAAUACCCGUAAGGGGCCUGGACCCUUUCAUUGUGCAUCAGUACAAAUCUGCCCUUGACCGGAGGCCUCACAACAUUUUCCCACCAGUGCCCAGGCCUGCUCCUGGCAGCCCUGUGCACACCCAGGGUUUCUGUCUUCCAAAGCGCUUGCCCGUUUGACCUUUGCAAAGGCCCCGUGACUCAGGCAGGACAGUGAUAGUCACUAUGUGCACGUAACCCACAAGAAAAGAGGCUCAGGGAAGGUGACCAACUUGUGCUUGCGUGUGUGCUGGGCUGUCUCUAGGACCAAGGACCCAGACAAUUCCUCUCGUUCUCCCCCCUUUCUCCAGCCUGAGCUAACAAAAAGACACCUCACAGAGACCAACAGGAAGCCAGGCCAACACGCCGGGACAUGGCAGGUGAUGGAAGCUCGCACCGACUUGACUGGUAAACUGAGUUUACAACAGACCUGGCCAGAUAACUUCAGGGGACUGAACAUUUGUCCCUCUUCUAAUUUUAAACCCCUCUGGCCUGAUGGGAGUGUCUGUGGUUACAGGGUGUAGCAGCUGCUGCUGCUGCUACUGUGUGGUCAGGGCCACCACAGGAAGACAGGUACUUACUUGAUUUUUCUUCUUUAACCGUGUAUUCGAGCACUUUGGACGAGCUCUCAUUCGGGGAAGGGAAGUGGACACAGAGCACCAGAUGCUUCAAGCUGCUAUCCUGACAGACCAGGAAUGUCUGCAACGGAAGAAGGGCGGGGGAGCUCCAUGAACCAAAGAUUUGGGUGGAGACUAAAAUGUAAGAGAACAGAAGAGAAGAAGGAUGCCUGCGGGACGGACGGACUCUGUCAGAGAGGAAAGGAGAGGGAGACAGAGACCUACGAAGGGCCUGGGCCCCAGUCUAAUGACACCCCAGACGCGGUGUCACUGUGCAGCAAAGAGGACUAAUGCAGUGACCCGCGGGCCUCCUCGUUGUGGCGAAUCACCUCUGCUUCACUUGACAGUCCAGCCCGAGUCCAGCCAGAACAAGACCACCUGUAUGACCUGCCGCUGUAGCUUUUGGGAGCUGCAGUGGGAGCCAAAUCCCAGCUCCGCUACACGCCAGCCGUGGAUCAUGGACAAGCAGCCUUUCGUUCUCCAAGUCUCAGUUUCCUCGUGUGAGCAUGAGUGUGAUAAUAUCCACCUCCCAGAGCUGCCUGUGAGAACUGCUGACUGUGUACGGAAAGCACCUGAUGCCAAGUGUGCCUUGAAUAACAAACACUGAUAAUCUUCAUUGUUCCAGUAGACUGCUACCAUCUACUGAGCACAAAGCCACAGGCUAACAUGUUUAUAGGCGUUAUCUCAUUUGCUAGAUAAUUAUUAGUGAGGUGAUUAUUAUGUAUCUUUCCCCCAAGUCAGAGAUGGGAAAGAGGGACUCACAGGCCGUUCCGCUAGGUGCUAGAUUAAAAAUAGCCACAAAUCCUUUGCAGCACCUCUCAUCCAACUUCCCCAGCCCUGGAUGGGGUGGCCUUCAGUCUUGUUUCCACCAAAAGAAAGUGACAGACAUAGCCCUGUGGGGUUGCAAGCCUAGGCUUUGAGGCGGGUCAGCUCCCCUGAGUGCUCCAGGCCAGUUUUGGGACCAUGGGUGUCACGUGAGGCCACCAGAGUGAGUCUGCUGGGGUCACGUGGCACAGCCCCAAGGGCAGGCAGCCCCGUGAGCUGCCAGUGGACUGUGGCUGUGCAGCUGACCCCAGUGAGACCAGCAGUGGAACUGCUCAGCAGAACUCAGCCCCAGCUGCUAACCCACGGAAUCGCAAGCACAUCCAAUGGUGACCAUCUGAAGCCACUGAAUUUUGAAGUGAUUUGUUAUGCACCGUAGCUGAUGAUACAGCCAUCAGGAUGGACGUGGGCCUGAUCCAUUGGGGACCCCCCUCCUUCUAUGAGGUGCUGAGUAGGGAUCCCCAGAGCUCAGGGGCGGGGACUUGGAAGGCUGGCGAUGCACCCAGUGUCCCGCUCUCCAGCCAGAGGAACCAAGACCCAGAGAUGAAAGACCUCCCAGGUCACAUCAAUUGUGAGCUGCAGAGCUAGGACAAGAACGUAAGGCCGUGACCUUCAGGCCAGGGUUAUGAGCGCCACCAUACACGGCUUCCAACCCACCCGGCCCGUCGAGCGCCACCCAAGCGUGUGUCUGCCAGGCGUCAGGCAAGAGGAUGUAGGUACCUUACAGCAGCCACCUCCCGGAGACUUAAAGGGUUUUACCCAAUGUACAGAUAAGAAAAGCAGGGGGAGAGGGAGAGGGGAACAUUCAGAGUGGUGGGCCUUGGGGCCCCUCCUCAGACAACUUCAGCCCAAGUCUCUGGAGCCGGACACUCUGAGUUCAGGCCUCAGCUUGGCGACGCUGAGCUGUGCGGUCACCCUGGGGCUGCUUCUUCCUCUGGGAAAGGGGAUCCUUGUAGCUCCUGCCACAGACGGUCGCUGUCAGUCAGCUCCCCAAGGACUAGUCUUUUCCAUUUCUUGCCAACUGACCCCAGUUCUAGUCUGGGUGCUGAUGUAUCAGCCUCAGGAGGAUUUCAUCAAAGCCAAUCAGGCUGUUCUCCUUCUUGCCAUUCACCCCCUUUCCCAGCCUCCCUUGCAGCUAGGGGUGACCAAAAAGGAUCUGAAAAAAUAGCUGUUCCCUGAUGAAAAGACUGAACCUAGGAGAAGAAAGCCUUUUGCCUGUGACCUCCUGCCUUUGAAUGGGCAAGAUGGCUGGAACUGCAGCUGCCGUUUUGUCACCACAAAGUGACAAAUCAGGAGGACAGAAAGCCAACACUUUGAAGAUGGAGGACAGAACAGUGAAAAGACCCUGGGUUCCACAGACAUCACUCAGCUGCGAACCUAACCCUGGGCCCCACCGUCCAGAUUUCUCAUUAGGGGAGCAAAAGGAGCUCUCUGGCUGAAGCUGCCAUAGGCUAGGUUUGCUGUGGCUUAACGCCGAAAGGAUUCCCAGCUGACCCAGGACCUCAAAGGAUUAUUAGAAGAACUGCACAGGUGCCUUGAGUAGAAUGCCUGCUACAUAGUAAGCCCUUGGGACAUGGGGUCUCCCUUCCCCAGGGCCCCUCUACCUGCCUUGAGUCCUGAGGACAGAAGCCCCCACCACGGGGUUCACGGAUGGCUCCCUGAGUCGGGGGAGUGUGACGACACACCAGGCACCCGCGUCAGCAGCUCCAGACUCCAGGCCUCAGCCAGAGGGAAGGGAGAGGCCCGAGGUGGGCAGUGAGGGAACGUGAGGUGACAGGCAGCCCCCGGGGGCCUUUCUGGUACCUGCCUGUGGCCCGGCCAGGCUGACAGCAGAAGAGCCCACAGCCAUGCCCCCUGUGCCACCCUCCCUCCACCACAGCUCCUAAGUGUUCCCUGGUGAACCAGGCCAUCGACAUGCCUCGCCAUGCCCCAGGGCCCUCACUCAGCCUCCCUCCUCCGUGGGACCAGCACCGCCUGGCGCCCUGGGGAGCCGACCCCUGAGUCAGCCCGCUGCUAUUCCCCCUUCCCCCCACCCCCGCCCCGUGCGCCUCCCCAGUAGCCUGCUUCAGGAACUCCCAGAAAGCAGAAGAAUGCCUGCCCCACUGGACAAACCAACCGGAGAUGCCCACUCUGGGGGGUCCAGGUUUCCUUGGAGCUAGGAUUGUCCUGCCUGCGCCCCCCACAACGACCGUGGGGUGGAGGUCAGAGCGCUGGGUGGCACAGCAGGACACGCGGCGUCCCUCCUGGUUCCCACCCUGACUCACUGUGUCCUUGGCAGGUCACUUCCCCUCUCUGAGCUGGCUUUUCCAGUCUAGUGAGGGCGGCGGGGGGCAGGGUCCCAGGACUCCUUUUUUCUAGAAGAUUCUCUCCCAGAUCAGUGCCCCAGGGUCUUUCGCAGCCCCCGAGAGGCUGGCAUUGAGUUUCCCGGGGAAAUGCGUGCAGUCCCCGAGGCUGGAGCAGCCGGCUGUAGGAGCCUCGCCCUGUCUACCUCUGGCUGUGGUCGAGGGUGGUGGUGGGGGAGACCAACUGAGUCCCACAACAGUUGGGCCAGAAUAUGCUUAGGGAGAGAGUUAUGCAGCCUCUGCAUGCCCCUCCUCCUCUCCAAGUAAAUAUAUAGAAACCCAGAGCUCAGCGCACGAGAAAUGAUUUUACUUUUACUACCCAUUUUUGGGUGGGAUGAUCUAGAGCUGUCUGCUUGUCUAUUUUGGUUAUGUUAGGACUAUUUUCCAGCUCCUCGAGGAGGGAAACUUUCCAAUCAUGCCCAUCGGAGCUGGAACAGAAGUGGCUGCUGCUUCUCAGAAGCCACAAGCUCAGAGGCUGCCAUGCUGCUGGAGGCAGGGGUCUGGCGGCCCCGUGGAGAGCCCCCUCCGGACCCGUGUGGCCCACCUUUCCCAUGACUGUAGCAUGGCACAGGGUGAAGUGUCGCCACCACCAAGGGAGUCUUUAAAACAUGCCACUGCUGCCUAUGCCUUCUCCAAGCCAAAAAAACCCACAAAUAGCAUUUCUGGGAAUGAGGCCGAGACAUGGUAUGUACAUAUUUUUUCAAGCCUUUGAAGACAGUCAGUUGGUGAGUUCAAGUCACACUCUAGUGUUUAGCAGCCGUUCCACGUGGGGCAGGCUCCUUACCAUCGUAGCUGAGUUUCCUCGCCGAUAAAAUAGGAAGCCGGCCCCCUGUUCUGCAGGGCUAUUGGCAAGAUGAGAGAUGGUGCCCAAUGCAGUGGACCAGGGAGCUGUAGGCUGCGCCCUUCUCCCUGACCCCAGUCCUUGAAGGGGCAAGAGAGGGGCUGCGCUGAUGCUUUUGCCCAACUCAUCUCAAACGGGAUUGGCAUUCCCUGGGCUCACACCUGGGGAAAGUGUCUGGAACCACUUACCCAGUGGGUCUGUAUCACCACACAGGCUACCCCAGCUCCUGAGCUAGCCCCUGCUACAAAAAGGGAUCUUACAGGAGACUUCUUCCAUUCUCAGCUAUCUUUUGUCCUCCACGCUGUGGCUUUACAGCAGUGAUGAACACAUUUGACACCAUUUCUCUUGCUUUCUCAUGUUAUUCUCUAAUAAGAGGAACCAGGGCUCCUUGGAGAAAUGGCUGACCCAGGACCAGGGCCAGAAACAAGACAAUCCUGGAGCAUGCAGUGUCAGUAAGUAAGGAAGCGCUCCAAAAACCACACUCACACCCAUGCAACGAUGGGCAGGUGUCAGAGGGUCCCAACGAGCACCCGAUGGCCAAAGCUGGAACAACGUGAGUAACCCGAUAAUUAAGGUACUGCUGGAUCACAACCCAAAGCAGAAAAGCAGUAUCCAUGCGGCCCUACCCUGCUGCUACAAGUAAAGAGUGGCACGAAUAAAUAAAUGGACAGACAAAUCUCUUGUGCAGAAGAACUCCAAAUAAUGGACGCAGAUCAUCGAGGAUGCUCCACUCCCUGAGGGUGGGCUGUGCCGUAUAAGAUGGGGGCACAGGGGGAACCUGGCAGGCAGGGGGUCGGCCAGGGGCCCCAAGUCAACAUGAGCGUGGAGCAGUAAGUCACACAGGUAGUCGGCACCUCUGAUGCCAGGUGAUGAGCACAGCACUUUACUGCUGGGGUCUUCCUCCCCCAAACUGCGAACUCUGGUCUAACCAUCAAUAAAUCCCACUGAAGGACCCCUCCCCCCGACAAAAGUACCUCACAAUACCUCUAUUCCUCCAAACCGUCAAGGCCAUCGAAACACAAAACAAGUCUGAGAAACUGUCACAGUCAGGAGGGGCCCGAGGGGCCGCGAUGACGACAUGCAAGAUGUGCCCUGCAUGAGAGGCAGCCACAGGGAGAGGCCAUGAGGGAGGAGCUACGGGUUCUCCUUGACACAGGUGCGUCACCGUGGCCUCAGUGACUGUGACAAACGUAUCCUACCAGCGUGAGGUGCCCGCAGCCAGAAUCAGGUGAGGGGUGUCUGGGAACUCCCUCAAUUAUCUUUGCAACUUUGCUGUAAAUCUAACGUUUCUACAAUCAAACUUUAAAAACAAAAACAAAACAAAACCCCACCGUUUCGGUGCGGAAUGAAUAAAGGUGGCUGUUUGACUGCCUUGCUUCUGGACACACA